rnacentral:misc_RNA from 1 species
UGGCUCUGGCAUCGAUGAAGAACGCAGCGAAAUGCGAUAACUAGUGUGAAUUGCAGACCUCAUGAAUCAUCGAAUCUUUGAACGCACAUUGCGCCCGCCGGUACUCCGGCGGGCAUGCCUGUCCGAGCGUCAUUGACAACCCUCAGGCCCUGGUGCCUGGUGUUGGGGCACUACAGCUUGCUGUAGGCCCUGAAAUCCAGUGGCGGGACCGCUGUAAACCCGGGCGUAGUAACUCCAUACAUCGUCUAGGGCGUUCCGGCGGACCCCAGCCGUUAAACCAACCAUAUUAUCAUAUUUGGCCUCGGAUCAGGUAGGAUUACCCGCUGA